CAAAGCUUGCUGAAAAAUACGAUCACUGAGUAUCGAAUGAAAAAUAUUUUUAUUCAUCUCAACGAUAUGGACGAAAUUCUUAGUUUAAUUUUGGACUCUAUUUCAUUUUCACCCUCUAACUAUAAAAAAGACACCUGGUUGCCAGUUGAGAAUUCUACAGCUUUGAGCAAGCUCAGUAGCUAUUGUGUUAAGCAGGAUGAAAAAAUAACUGACGCGAUGAACAUGAAAAACUUUACAUCUUGUGAUUUUGAGUUGCUCAUCAGUAACGCAGAGCUGAACGGAGAUAUCAAACUGACGGACUCUGUUUUUGAGUCAACCAAAGGUUUCUCGUUGCUAAGUAAUAUCUGGAAUUCUAUUAAUUACGUUAUUUUUAUGCUGCCCAACCUUGAUGGGAAUGAUGAACAGUUAUUGUUCCUCUUCCGAUUUUUCUGGCGUUUCUUCCGCGGCCUGCACACAGUCAUUUGCGCAGAGUACAAUUGCUUUAAAUAUGAUCCCUUCAAGGGUAUUAUCCUGCAUACGGAUACGAAGAGUGGUCACUAUUUUCCCCUCGUCUCUGUGCAAGGAGGCAAAUUAAAAACCGCCUUUGUUCAAAAAAAUGAAUUGUACAGUCAUAGUAACAGCGCAGGAAUAUCACCCGCCACAGCCGUAGUUGAGGUUAUUGAUUAUCUUCAAGAAAAAUUAAACGUCGAAAUAGAGUAUGAUGUAUUUGAUAUGUGGGGUAGAUUCGAUGCAGAUGAAAAGUAUUACGAGAUCGCUUUAAGGUCGAAUAUAGACGUGCUCAUCUUCCAAGACGGCAUCUGCCCGGAUGAGACGGUCUUCACACAGUUCGACUUUUCCGCAGCAAUUCAAACAUGUUCCCAAUGUUUCGCCGUCCCUCGCAGCGCUUUCAUACCACCAUGUCUCCUGCCAUUUAAGAGCUUCUCGCUUCAAGUGUGGGCUGCCAUAAUCACAACAAUUCUGUUACUGUACAUCACGAUGUACUUGUUUUAUUAUUCACAACGUGCGCUAUUCAAACAACUCUAUACGGAGGAAUCCCUUCGGGAGUUCCAAAACACCUCGGUGACCUUCAUUCUAUGCGCAUUUUUCUCGUUGGAUGUCCAUGGCGACUGCUGUUGGGACGAGUGAUCACUGGGAAGAUAUUGUUUACAAUUAUAUCAUUGUUUGUCCUGAUAAUCGUCACAGUAUUUCAAAGCCAAUUAACAACCCUCCUUGCGACGUUUGUGCGAUAUCCUGACAUAGAUACUUUAAAAGACUUAAUUGACUCAGAUCUGUAGACAUUUCAAGCUACCUCCUCCAAGAAUACGAUGCUUCACUGGAUAAAUGAAGUGAAAGUUUCGUUUUUUAUGAGCGGCUUUGGGUGAGUU
rnacentral:lncRNA from 1 species